AAAAGGUGAAUAAAUGGGUUGAACUUGAAAUCGUGCCUUUCAUGACAUGGUUAAAAUAACCAAUCAGAUUAUCAGCUAAGCUAAGGAUUAUAAUCAAGGAUCACGCCGAUUAAAAAAUCCUUUAAAACAAAUGAUGUUGAGAGCACUGAGAGUGAAUCUAUGAUUGAUCUAAAUACUGAGCCUAUGCUCUUGUAGUAAUUCCUUCCAACGACAAUUUAGAAGGAACCUGAUAAGAGCGAUGAAGCUGCGUGUGAAAGUAUAAUGGAACCUAAAGACCAGUACAUUUACCUUUUGAAACCUAAAAAACUAUAGUAGGAUGAAACCCAUUGGAAAAGAAAGAGAAUACAACGAAAAUGAAAGGAAAAAUAAAUGUCGGGAAGUGAGGGGUUAUGGGGAUAAAAACGGCUUAUGUCGAUUUCUGGCUAAACUACAAGUCUUA